rnacentral:rRNA from 2 species
UACGUAGGGUGCGAGCGUUAAUCGGAAUUACUGGGCGUAAAGCGUGCGCAGGCGGUAAGUUAAGUCUGAUGUGAAAGCCCCGGGCUCAACCUGGGAAUGGCAUUGGAAACUGGCUUGCUGGAGUGUGGCAGAGGGGGGUGGAAUUCCGCGUGUAGCAGUGAAAUGCGUAGAGAUGCGGAGGAACACCGAUGGCGAAGGCAGCCCCCUGGGCCAACACUGACGCUCAGGCACGAAAGCGUGGGGAGCAAACAGG